rnacentral:rRNA from 1 species
CGGCGGACGGGUGGAGUAACGCGUGGGUAACCUGCCUCAUACAGGGGGAGUAACAGUUGGAAACGGCUGCUAAUACCGCAUAAGCGCACAGUACCGCAUGGUACCGUGUGAAAAACUCCGGUGGUAUGAGAUGGACCCGCGUCUGAUUAGGUAGUUGGUGGGGUAACGGCCUACCAAGCCGACGAUCAGUAGCCGACCUGAGAGGGUGAACGGCCACAUUGGGACUGAGACACGGCCCAAACUCCUACGGGAGGCAGCAUG